rnacentral:rRNA from 1 species
AUUGAACGCUGGCGGCAGGCCUAACACAUGCAAGUCGAACGAGUGGCGGACGGGUGAGUAAUGCUUGGGAAACUGCCUGAUGGAGGGGGAUAACUACUGGAAACUGUAGCUAAUACCGCAUACCAUCGGAUGUGCCCAGAUGGGAUUAGCUAGUUGGUGGGGUAAAGGCUCACCAAGCCGACGAUCCCUAGCUGGUCUGAGAGGAUGACCAGCCACACUGGAACUGAGACACGGUCCAGACUCCUACGGGAGGCAGCAGUGGGGAAUAUUGCGCAAUGGGGGCAAGCCUGAUGCAGCCAUGCCGCGUGAAUGAAGAAGGCCUUCGGGUUGUAAAGUACUUUCGGCGGGGAGGCGUUACCCGCAGAAGAAGCACCGGCUAACUCCGUGCCAGCAGCCGCGGUAAUAC